rnacentral:rRNA from 1 species
GGGGGCCACCCAUUGCUGGGUCCCCCAUCUGGGGCGGCAUGAAAGUUUGCUCCUACUUACUAAUGAAUCCCUGUCGAAUCUGCGUUAACAGAUGAUAAGAUGCACCGGGUUUCCUCCGACGUCAGACGGCGGCGGGUUGAACAACAUACUGAUAAUCCACUCUGAAUGAUGGGGAUAACUGUUGAAACCGAAGGCUAGUUCUCGAUAUUUGUAGGGUGAAAGGGCAAGCUUCCUAUUGAAUACCUCCUCUCAAAUUAGUUACCUGGGAGGUAAAAACCUGCCCAAGGUAACUGUCGGUAGUUGGUCUGAAAUGACGAGCAGCCAUACUGUUACUGAGAGACUGCGCAGAUUGCCCCUGGAGGCUGCACUGGGGAAUUUGCCACAAGGUGUCUACUGCGUGACAGAACAAAAGGCGGAGGCCCCCACGAAGGCCCUGGGGUUAUACACUCCUUUCCCCGGGAAACAACAUUUGUAUGUUCCCGGGGCAGAAAAUCCCCCCCCUCCUUCCGUGGUGCCAUCCCCUAAAUUACCAAGACGGCAAUCCGUUAUUUGGAAUUAUCUGUCCGGUAAUAGGUGUACCUCAGUGUGGAGGCAUCCGCUCUCCAUUCUCGCGUGGGGCCCUUCCCCCCGAAGCGGUUGUGGAAAUUGAACAGUUGGAGUGUGGAACGGGCCCAGGGAAUUCCCAUGUAGCGGUGAAGUGGGAUCAGGUUGGAAAGAACCCCCUCUGCCACCCCCUGUGCUUAUGCCGAUUUAAAGUAAGGCCUUAUACCUCUGGCACGCUACGGGAUGAUUAACCCUGGGUGCUACUCUAACGUAUCGAACUAGGUGGGCCUACAAUUACCCGGACCUUGCAGAUUACGCCCUCUUAUCCGCUUGGGAAUUGCAGCCAACGGAACUCCAUGAAUUGGUGGGGGCCACCCCCCUAGAAUAGUUUUUCAAAAAGUCAAAUUAGCGCUUGAAAUGGGCCCCGAAUCGGGGUCUAAUUCCCAGGGCGUGGUGGAGAUGAGUCGGGAGCGCGAACCCAAGGUGGUGCAUGGCUUUCGUCAGGGGCCCGUUUCGUGAGAUGUUGGGUUAAGUCCCCAACGAGGGCAACCCCCGUUUUAGUUGCCAUCAUUAAGUUGGGCACUCUAGAGAGACUGCCGUGGACAACACGGAGGAAGGGGUGGACGACGUCAAGUCAUCAUGCCCCUUACGUUUUGGGCUACACCCGUCCUACAAUGCUAAAGACAGAGGGCAGCGAGCCCCCGAGUGCAAGCAAAUCCCAAAAACUGUGGCUCAGUUCAGUUGCAGGCUGCAACUCGCCUGCAUGAAGGCGGGAAACGCUAGUAAUCGCAGGUCAGCAAACUGGGGUGAAUACGUUCCCGGGCCUUUUAAACACCGCCCGUCACACCAAAAUGGGAGUUGGCCACGCCCGAAGUCGUUACUAACCGUUCGCGGAG